rfam:Halobacteroides halobius DSM 5150, complete genome.
CAACGGGUGAAAGUCCCGUCAAGGUAAAAGUCAAAGCCUUGUAGUAGGAUAGCAGUGUGGUGAGAGAUCUAAACAUUGAAGUCUAUUGACAAAGAUAUCGUUAGGAUAUCGAGCAAGUAUUCAGACUAUAACACCA